AUUGAACGCUAGCGGGAUGCUUUACACAUGCAAGUCGAACGAGUGGCGGACGGGUGAGUAAUACAUCGGCACCUGCCCAGUAGCGGGGGAUAACUACUCGAAAGAGUGGCUAAUACCGCAUACUAUCGGAGUGGCCGAUAUCGGAUUAGCUUGUUGGUGGGGUAAAGGCUCACAAAGGGAACAAUCCAUAGCUGGUUUGAGAGGACGACCAGGCAAAGUGGAACUGGGACACGGCCCAGAGUCCUACGGGAGGCAGCAGGGGGGAAUUUUGGACAAUGGGGGAAACCGUGAGGCAGCCAUCCCGCGUGUAUGAGAAGGCCUUGGGGUUGAAAAGUACUUUUAGCAGGGAGACGGUAUCGGCAGAAUAAGCACCGGCUAACUACGUGCCAGCAGCCGCGGUAAUAC
rnacentral:rRNA from 1 species